CUCGGCGUCUCGCGGGGCCGCCUCCCCCGGACGCUCGCCUGGCUCCCCGUCUCGCUCUGCCCCAGGCCCGACAGGCCGGGACGCCGUCCGACCCCAGCCGAGGCCACCCACAGGCCGGGCGCCUCGGGCCUCCGUGGGUGCUUGGACUCUCCCGCAGCACCACUGCCGCCGGGAGAAAGGUCGUGGCGGCUCGCAGCCCCCCGCCCCCAGCCCCCCGCUGGCUCCUUGGUGAGGUGCUACUUGGCGGCGGCCGCGCUGGGGGGAUGUGGGGACGGCGGGCCGAGGCGGAGGGGGCCGGUUGUGGGGAGGGUGAGCCACCUGUCUCUCUCUGAGUCGGGGGUCACUUGCUGGAGCCCCCGGUGCCUUCUCUCGGCCGGCCGUCGGCCCGGCAACCGCCAGCGAUGGAGCUGCACGUGGGUGGUGGUCUUGGGCGGGGAUGAGAGCAGAGCGCCGGCCCCCGCCGGCCCCCGCCGCCCCCGCCCGGGCAGGCGGUGGUUGGAAAGCGGUUGUGGGCGUCUCCCGGUGGCCGGACCACCAGGCAGUGGAGGCCAGAGAGCAGGGAGAUAGAUGCAGGAGGCCAGUGGGGCUAACCCGCGGGCCGGGCAGGUGGGAGGCGGCGGAGGCACCCCGGGGACAGACGGGGUGCCCUUGGAGGCCCCGGGUCAGUCCAACUGCACGACCGCUACCCCGAAUCCUGGGGCAGAGGGGCAGGCGUGUUCCCCGACACAGCUUCCUCCACCCCGGCCCCCGGCCNCCGGCCCGGCCCCGGCCCCAGCCCCACGUGGCCGGCCCCCCAGCUGGAUGCCGCUCGGAAGGGGCUCCCCUUGGCGCCUUAGCGCCCCCCCCUAGGCAGGAGAGCCUGCAGCCCUGUCUCCGCCCGGGUGCGGGUCUCCUGGCGCCGCUGCUCCUGCAGGUGAACCGCAGCGCCCGGCCUCCUUCCUGCCAACGCUUGCACGGCCGCCCUCCAAGGCUUUGCUGUGUGUCCAGAGACUGUCUCCGUCGGAGGCGCAGAGGCCGGCCCGCGCUCUGCGUGAGCCUUCCGGGGCUCGCUGGCUGGAUUUGGACACCGUCCGGCCGGCGGUGGAGAGGAGCGCCUGUGGGCCUCCGGGUGCUUCCCGUCAGCACGGGCAGUUCCCUCAGCGCCCUCGCCUCUCCCUCUGGCUGUAUGGGUGGGGGUGGGGGUGCGGGGAGUCCGCGACGGUGGGGGAUAGCGCUGGACGAAGGUGUUCUCCCCCGCGCGUCGCCUCGCACGGGGGUCAGGGCACAGGCGCAAAGCGUCCCGGAAAGAGGGCAGGGCCAGGAGCGGCCCGAGCCGGGCAGUGGGAGAAGGAGUCCCGGGUGUGUGCGUGGAGUGAGGGCCCGGGAGGUGUGGCGCCCGCGGGCACUGGCCGAGAGUGGGGCUGGCCACUGAGGCAGGGCACCCUGCCCGGCGCCUCGCCUGCACCUGUGCACCUGUGCGGGCGGGCGAGCUGUGAGGUAGGGGAGGGGACACGCUGGGCGUGUGCCUGAGGAGCCUGUGGGAGACCGGGACUGCGGGCAUUGAGUGUAGGACGUGGGUGUGGGGUCCAAGGGGUCGGUGGUAGAUGGAGGGUUUGAGCCUGGAGGCUGGAAGGAGCAGCACGUGGCACGUGGGGGUGGGUGUCGAUGGGGAGUCGUCCCGGUGCCAGAGGGCUGGGAGACCCCGUGGUGGCGGUGGACGGCGGGCGGGAGAGGUGCCGGGAGGCCGCUGGGCUGCGCUGGGCUGCACUGGGCUGCACUGGGCUGCACUGGGCUGCGCUGCAGGGUGGCC
rnacentral:lncRNA from 1 species